rnacentral:tRNA from 15 species
UGGGUGGUGUAAAAGGUAGGAAUACGGACUUGAAUACAUGAGAUCGCUGGUUCGAGUCCAGCA